rnacentral:lncRNA from 1 species
GCAGAUUCUCACCUUGCUGUUGCCUAAGCCUGUCAGUGAUGUUGAGAAGGAAGGAGGGAGUAAACUGCUUCCUUUGAGAACUGGGGAAUUUGGUGCCUGAAACUGCAGAAUCACAGAAUGUGCUGAGUUGGAAGGGACCCACAGGGAUCACAGAGUCCAACUCCUGGCCCUGCACAGGAUCAUCAGCAACAGAGCAUCAUCAUAUCCUGUGCCCAGGAGUGAUGAGCACCUUGUGGCCUUUGGGUGCUUUAACUCCUCUGGAGACAGCCACAUGAAGUCAGGAAAGAAGAAAAAAAGAUGAUCUUCCAGUAGUUUAUUGCUGUUUAUGCCAAUGUCUGGACUCCAAACC